GGCCGCGCGGGGGCAGCCCUGCCCUGCCACGGUGAUGAUAAAUCCACCUAUGAUGGAUAUAAAUAUUUUUGAUAUAAUAGUAAUUGUUGGAAAGUAAGGAAUAAACGUACGAGUUUUAAUUUGUAAGUGAUUUGUUGAUCGUUUUCUUUGUAAUUUUGUCUUUGUUAGCUUUAUGAUGUUUUCUUGUAUGAAACUAUGGUAAAAGAUUUUGAGAAUUUAGAAGACACCGUAGCGUUUAAUGGUGCCAGUGGAAGCGUAUUGUUUGAAUCUAUCGUGAUAUGUUUUAUUAUUGAAAUGUACGAUUUGUGUUACUAUUGUGCCAAGUGAGAUAUUUUAACUAUGAGAUAUUAAGAUUAAGUGAAUAAUAUCAAAAUUAAUGAAAAGCUAAGAUAUUUAUAUUUAUAAUUGUGAUAAUAAUAUAUGGAAGUUUUGGCAAAAAGAAUGUUAACAUUCUUAUUUUCAUUUAGGUUGCUUUCUUUUAUCGACUAGAUGUAAUAUCCCAAAUGCAUUAAAAUAAUUUUCAUAUCAUUUUGCCUAAAAUAAUAUACUUAAAAGCUGUUGCUAACAGGUUUCGCCUAUAGUAAUAAGCCCGCGGCGGCGAUGAACUAAAUUUUAUAUCUUCCUAUAGGACGUAAUUCAUUUUGACACAAAGAAUUUGUAAUGCUUCCACAUAUUAUUGAAAAUAAUCUCACAUUUGGCAUGGAUCCUUAUAGCGUUCCAGUAUUAUUUAGGAUUGGCGGUAUAAUCCGCGAUACAUUUAUCGUGUACAUGAUGGUUCGAGUUAUAUUCGAUAGCCUCUUCGCGCCGCCUGCAGUCCAUCCGAGGCUACUGACUAGGCGGCCGGCGAGGCGUUCCCGUACAUGGAUGGGCCGACUGUUAUGAUAUGCUGAAACGUUAAAAGGUCGUAACAUUAGACUUACACAUCAGACAUGUAAUAAUAAAACACACCCUUGUACCACUAAUAUUGUCUGCAGGGAGCGGCGCCCGGCUCGCGACCGGGUGCAGGCACGCGCGCCUCGAGGCGAGCGCAGCUCCCUCGAGUGCUUGCUAUGUAAUGUAUUCGCUUCCGUUUGAAAUACUUAUGUAUGUACGGUUGUCGACUUCACUUAAUUAGUUACUCAUGGGUAACUUGCACAGUGAUACAGAAACCUCGAGCUCCGCGAUCAGACCGGAGUAUUCGCAACUGACAUGUAAACCUUGGACUACAUAGCAAAUAGAGCUAUAGCUACUUAAUGUUAUCAAUUCAUUUGAUAUAGAGUUUACAGUCUAGGAAAUAACGAAAGACUGACAAAUCAAUACAAAAUAGUGCUUCUUGGCACUCCAGGAACAUCAGGACUUAGCCCAGUUGACAAUAGAAGAAACUGACUGACCGAGCUGGCAGUUCUUACAGAGUACGAAACUAAUGGAUUCCGUGUAGGGCAGUGCAGUAGCGAGCAUCUGUAAAUACGUUGUGUUGAAAAAAAUAAGUAUUUGUUUUGUAGCUUUAUUGGACAAGCUAUUUGCGCGCUGGUGUACUUUACAAUCAACAAUCGGUAUGUUAUCUGAGGAGUUUUCGCCUAGCUUGAGACGAGUUGCGUUGAUGGGACAGAGACAGUCGGUGCUAGACAAGCUGGCCAGUGCGUCUGUUAAUGUUAACAAGAACCGAAUGUCGCUAACUCAUCGACUGACUGCAUAUUUUCUGUGCUUGUAUUAGGGUGCUGCUACACGUAUCGUGAUUCGGCGAAUAUUCGUGAUUGCGUCUCUUUCAUUUCCCUUGGAUAGCGAGAGACGCCAUCACAAAUAUUCGCCGAAUCCCGAUGUGUGGCCGCAGCGUUACACUACCGCACGCUUAACAAUUUACGAAGUUCCUUUUCGGGUAUUUAUUCUGAGGAAAAUGACAGCAUUAAUCAUACAUUCCAAUACAUGACAUCAGAGUUGUUAAAGGUGCUGACACAUUUUUUAGAAUUAAUAUCUAGGUGUAAUCUUUGCUAGUCUCAUUAAUUUUUCAUCAAACUAUAAAUAUAUUGAGGGAAAACUAUUGAAACCAGAAGAUGCCCACCUGCUAUAGGGCCAAAGAUAGAUCCCUGACUUUGCUUUAUCCGUAGUAGUUUGGUCCUUUUCGUGUUUUUGUGUGAUGUCGUGCAAACUUCUGCUCGGCAAAAGAUUGGAUACGUUCGUUCUGCCGAAAUGUAAAAUAAUUAAUGCUUAUUAUUGGUGACUCAAUUUACCUUAUAAGGAUUUGUAAUCUAAAUUGACUACAAAAUUCAAAAUGCAAAUUUAUUAGUCAUGGUGUUAGCAGUUUAUUCUAUACUUCAAUGUAACACAUCCCAUUGUAGGGAAAUAGUAUGCAUUCUUAAUGUUGCUGUUAAUUAUAAUGUGUUGAAUCGAUUUAACGUUCAUCUUGGUGUAACAUUUCACAUCAUCAUCAUAAUAAUAAAUACACAAGUAUUGUUAAUAUUAUUAUAAUUAUACUGGACAAAAGAUAUCGGCCGCUCAUGUGUCGUGCGGCGCGUUGCGCGUCCGGCAGUGCGGAUAUGCGCCGCAGGACGCAUCGGGCGGCAACGACCCAUCGGAGUAAAUGUACGGUUACUUUCACCACAGGAAAAGUGUACAUAUACAGGCAUGUUGUUUAUUCCUUCCAAAUAUAAAAAGAGGGUACAUUAUGAUUUGUAAUGUGUUAGGCUGCAGAAAUAGUUUUAGUUGAUUAAUUGUAUCAUUGUGAAGUAGUGUUAAGUUGAGGUAUGACGCGGACGGCGCGCGGCGCGCGGCCCGAGACUGAACUACACCCCUGCCGCACGCGCCGGCGCAUCCAUUACUUUACAUGUCAUUCUCGCUAUUGAUAUACUGCGUCAUUCUUGUUUGAUGGUUCUACUGUUAUUUACAUAUUUCUUUCUCAUGUGUGUGUAACCACUGUUUUGUGCAUUUGGUGUGUGAUCGACAG